rnacentral:rRNA from 1 species
GACGAACGCUGGCGGCGUGCUUAACACAUGCAAGUCGAACGGAAAGGCCCUGCUUUUGUGGGGUGCUCGAGUGGCGAACGGGUGAGUAACACGUGAGUAACCUGCCCUUGACUUUGGGAUAACUUCAGGAAACUGGGGCUAAUAUCGGAUAGGAGCUCCUGCUGCAUGGUGGGGGUGGGAACGUUUCUGCGGUUGGGGAUGGGCUCGCGGCUUAUCAGCUUGUUGGUGGGGUAGUGGCAUACCAAGGCUUUGACGGGUAGCCGGCCUGAGAGGGUGACCGGCCACAUUGGGACUGAGAUACGGACCAGAGUCCUACGGGAGGCAGCAGUGGGGAAUAUUGCACAAUGGGCGGAAGCCUGAUGCAGCAACGCCGCGUGCGGGAUGACGGCCUUCGGGUUGUAAACCGCUUUCGCCUGUGACGAAGCGUGAGUGACGGUAAUGGGUAAAGAAGCACCGGCUAACUACGUG